CUUACNCAUGCAAGUCGAGGGGCAGCAUUUCAGUUUGCUUGCAAACUGGAGAUGGCGACCGGCGCACGGGUGAGUAACACGCUAUCCAACCUGCCGAUAACUCGGGGAUAGCCUUUCGAAAGAAAGAUUAAUACCCGAUGGUAUAAUCAGACCGCAUGGUCUUAUUAUUAAAGAAUUUCGGUUAUCGAUGGGGAUGCGUUCCAUUAGGCAGUUGGUGAGGUAACGGCUCACCAAACCUUCGAUGGAUAGGGGUUCUGAGAGGAAGGUCCCCCACAUUGGAACUGAGACACGGUCCAAACUCNUACGGGAGGCAGCAGUGAGGAAUAUUGGUCAAUGGGCGCAGGCCUGAACCAGCCAAGUAGCGUGAAGGAUGACUGCCCUAUGGGUUGUAAACUUCUUUUAUAUGGGAAUAAAGUUUUCCACGUGUGGAAUUUUGUAUGUACCAUAUGAAUAAGGAUCGGCUAACUCCGUGCCAGCAGCCGCGGUAAUACGGAGGAUCCGAGCGUUAUCCGGAUUUAUUGGGUUUAAAGGGAGCGUAGGUGGACAGUUAAGUCAGUUGUGNAAAGUUUGCGGCUCAACCGUAAAAUUGCAGUUGAUACUGGCUGUCUUGAGUACAGUAGAGGUGGGCGGAAUUCGUGGUGUAGCGGUGAAAUGCUUAGAUAUCACGAAGAACUCCGAUUGCGAAGGCAGCUCACUGGACUGCAACUGACACUGAUGCUCGAAAGUGUGGGUAUCAAACAGGAUUAGAUACCCUGGUAGUCCACACAGUAAACGAUGAAUACUCGCUGUUUGCGAUAUACAGUAAGCGGCCAAGCGAAAGCAUUAAGUAUUCCACCUGGGGAGUACGCCGGCAACGGUGAAACUCAAAGGAAUUGACGGGGGCCCGCACAAGCGGAGGAACAUGUGGUUUAAUUCGAUGAUACGCGAGGAACCUUACCCGGGCUUAAAUUGCAUUUGAAUAAUNUGGAAACAGNUUAGCCGCAAGGCAAAUGUGAAGGUGCUGCAUGGUUGUCGUCAGCUCGUGCCGUGAGGUGUCGGCUUAAGUGCCAUAACGAGCGCAACCCUUAUCUUUAGUUACUAACAGGUCAUGCUGAGGACUCUAGAGAGACUGCCGUCGUAAGAUGUGAGGAAGGUGGGGAUGACGUCAAAUCAGCACGGCCCUUACGUCCGGGGCUACACACGUGUUACAAUGGGGGGUACAGAAGGCAGCUACCUGGUGACAGGAUGCUAAUCCCAAAAGCCUCUCUCAGUUCGGAUCGAAGUCUGCAACCCGACUUCGUGAAGCUGGAUUCGCUAGUAAUCGCGCAUCAGCCAUGGCGCGGUGAAUACGUUCCCGGGCCUUGUACACACCGCCCGUCAAGCCAUGAAAGCCGGGGGUACCUGAAGUACGUAACCGCAAGGAG
rnacentral:rRNA from 1 species